UCUCAGUUGAUUUUUCUGUCUUUCCAGAAAUGCCCUUCUUUGGACUCGCUGGUCUUGUCUGAAGUGUCCUGCCUGACACCUGUAGUCACAGUCACCCGGGUCCUUCCCUCAGGGCCUGUCACCUCCACUUAGAUCCCAUCUCCCCAUGACCUGGGACUUGUGAAGAGGCUCCACUGGGCCUAGUCCUGGGCAGGGCUUCACACCCAUGGACUGGAGAUGGGGUGUCGGUGCUACUGGGCAGCAGGGAUUACUGAGGGGCCCCAUCUGGAUGCACUGUCUGCUCUCUGAAAACCAGGAUAAAGAAGCUGUACAUGCAAGUCAGAUACGAUGAGGUUUUCUCCGGCCGUGUACAGACCUUCCUCCCGCUCUGUCACGUGAGUACCGAAGGCGGCCGGGCGUCCAGCUCCUUCAUCUGGCUCUGCUCUCAGCUGCUCGUCUGAGAUUUCCCGGAGCUCGGGCACUUCGGCCGGGUCUUCCUCAUGAGAACCAUCAGAAGACCUCUAACGGAAAGAAUCCUUAAACGGCCUUGUUUGCUGAGGGACGAAAUAAGCACUUCUGGGAAAUCGCUAAGGUCAAAACUGCCUUCUGCACGCUGUGGGCUCACACGACUGUCACGGCCGCUCAGGUCUAAGCGGUGUGUUGGCAACAGACCUGCACAGACUGGACAGGAGCUGCUCUCUGCAUAUGUUUAGUUCUUUAGUUCUUAACUGCGACAAAAUCCUGGAAAACAGUUAAAUAAAUAGAAACAGAAAACAGACCCUCAAGACUGUCCAGUCCUCACACAAAGGCACCUCGCGCCGUUGUGGGAAGACCCGCCAGAGAAGACCCGCCACCCAAGACGCCCCCAGACCACCAUAACUCAGACCAGCCUUCACCCCUCCGCCCCUGACCCCGGCAUGCGAGAAGGGAACGCACCUUCUCAAGAUCCAGGGAAGUCCAAGAUACCUUCCUGAACGUAAAUCCUAACGCUACAGUGGAUAUAUAUAUAUAUAUAUAUUUUUUUUUAAAUAUUUAUUUGGCUGCGCCAGGUCUCAGUUGCAGCACGGGGGAUCUUUGCUGCGGCAUGAACAUGACCAGUGGCACUCUCUUUGUAAAGGGGCCUUCGGGGAUGCUGUGCUGGGCACCUUCUCUGCCCGAGCAGCCAUUUAUGAUGAAGCUGAAGCCUCUUGUUAGAUUCUGAAAGAAGCUUGUCAACAAUGUCUGAUUUUAUUACAUUUUCCAUUCAUUUUUUCUCUCUGCCUUGCCUAAAAUAGGAAAAACGAAAAGUUCUAAACUUCAAGAACAAGUAUGGCCAUUAUUUUAAAAGCACCAAGGAGCGAUGACGUUGAGUGGCCUGUGCCCUGGCUCCCUAGUCUGUCAGCUUUCACGUGAACCCAGAAAGGACUCAGCAUUCCAAACCACACACAACUGCCAGACUCUGAAUGCAUCUAAAGUGCAAACAUUCAGCCUCCAAGUCCAGGGGUGCUGUACACACUACAGCAGUGGACUGGUGUAGACUCUGGCUAAACAUCUGUAGUAAUUAUAACUAUGAACCCAGCUCAAUUCACCUCUUUACAGAUUCCUAAACGAUUAAGAGAUUUAAGUAUCUGAUUAUGUUGCACUUCUUGUAACUGCUUUUUUGCCUAAAAUAGGAAAAACAAAAACUUACAGACUUCAAGAACAAGUAUGGUCAGUGUUUUAAAAGCACCAAGGAGUGACGACAGGCGUGGCCUGUGCCCUGGCUCCGUAGGCUGUCGCCUCCCACUGCUAUCUCCUAGUGGACUCCUGCACCAUCACCAGAGCUGACUCACAGGUACAGAGAAGGGCAGGGACAUUGUUCGUUAGAAGGUCCCUCCCCACUGCUUCUGUUCAACAAAGGACCCAGGGAGCCUCAGGAGUGUCACCAGCCAUUAACUGUCAGAUGGACUCAGCGAGCAGAUUUACAUGCAGAAACAAGCGUAUUUUAAAGGGCAUCAGCUUAUAUACACAUUGGUGGAGGAAUUUCCCAGUGUGUAAACCGAAGAUUGAGUCUGGAUUAAGCCGCUUGUGGGCUCUUCGUCAUGGCAUGCAUGUGGGAUCUAGUUCCCUGACCAGGGAUCAAACCCGGGCCCCUGCACUGGAAACGCAGAGUCCAACCCACUGGACCACCAGUGAAGUCCCUGGCUCUGCUCUUGACUGCUCAUCUAAGAUUUCCUGGAGCUCGAUCACUUUAGCCAGGUCUUCCUCGUGGCUUAGGGAACAACCAGAAAGAAUCCUUAAAACAGCCUUGUUUGGUGAGGGAUGAAAUAAAGCACCUCCGGGAAAUCGCCAAGGUCAAAACUGCCUUCUGCACGCAGUGGCCUCACACUCUCAUGGCCGCUCAGGAGAGAGUCAGAGGGGUCAGAAAUCACUGCCUCAGCCCAGUGAGUCCACCACCCACCACAAGAAUGGGACCACCAGAAAUCAUUCCCUCCGAAAGUGAGGGCAAAACGGGGAAAUGAGGUUAAGGGUGGGAGGCAAAGUGGGAGACAUUAAAUCCCUGUGGAACGUGAACUACAAGGUACUCAUACUUUAAAGUGGUUUCUAAGUGGCGUAUUGCUCUUAUAAUUUUCUAACCAGUAAAAAAUGUAAAUCACA